UACGGGGGGGGCAAGCGUUGUUCGGAAUUACUGGGCGUAAAGGGCUCGUAGGCGGCCCACUAAGUCCGACGUGAAAUCCCCAGGCUUAACUUGGGAACUGCGUCGGAUACUGGUGGGCUUGAAUCCGGGAGAGGGAUGCGGAAUUCCAGGUGUAGCGGUGAAAUGCGUAGAUAUCUGGAGGAACACCGGUGGCGAAGGCGGCAUCCUGGACCGGCAUUGACGCUGAGACGCGAAAGCGUGGGGAGCAAACAGG
rnacentral:rRNA from 1 species